CUUGCUGACAUUGUGAUCGCUUCUGAGUCUGCUUUUGUUGUUUUGGGGUUUUUUCUUUACAAGAGGGAAAACUGUGGAAAGCAAAGAACAUUUUUAAAAAUAAAUUUCAGGAAAAGUUAUUAUACCAUGCUGUGUUAUUGCACAUGGUGCUUCAAAAUUGGCAGCUAGGCUAUGUCUUGGGAUCAGGUUGUGCUGUGCUGUUUCCUAACGAUUUUGCAAUAUAGAAAGCGCUGCCUAAAGGAUAAUGGAGAUUGUGAAUGAGUGUGUUCUUGAGAGGAGAAACUCUUUAUUUCACAUGGCAUAAGAGAAGGUGUACUUCCUAAGAGGCUAGACUGGCUAUAGCUUUGUGAUUCACAGAAUUGACCCAGCUUUAAGUUACUGGUGAUUUUGGAUAUCAGCAGUGGAAGAAGAUAUUUCAAUUGAAGAAUCAGACUAUCCUGAAACUAUUAGUGAAACCUUGUCCCAGUUCCAAACAAAUAGUGUUUGCUCUGGUACACAAGUUGAUGUCUGUGCACUGCUGGAGCAGGAUAAACCACAAGAGCACAGGCUGGAGGAAUGGCAAAUAACUUCCCAUCACCUCUCAAGCUGAUAAACUGGGUUGAAACUGCUGCUUCCUAUCAGUGGAAUUGGCUCAAAUUGGAGGCCAUGAAGCAGCACUCAGCCACAGCUCACAUCUGCCUGGUGGGAGUGAGAGCUUCAACACUGCCUCGUCCAUUGCUGUACAGCCAAGUCCUAAGGAAGCAGAAGGCCCAGGAAGCAGAAGAGCUUAAUUCACGUCCUUCCACAGCUGGAGGGGUUUCAGACCCACAUUUCCACUCCUCACGGAUGGGCACCAGUCCUUCAACACUCAUCUGCACUGGUGAGGAAACCACCACCAUCAACAAUUGAAACCUGCAGCCAAAUAGCCCCAAGGAGGUGGAGAAGGAGCCUGAUCCUGUAGGCCAGCACGUAGAAGCACACCUGAGAGGAAAGGAGAGGCAGCAGCUGCCUGCAUUAUUUUCUCUCUAUGCAAUGAGAACUAAUAUAAAGGACAUAACCAAGAUGAAAUGGAGCUUGAGGGCCGACAGAACCAUCUCUGGGAGCCCAGGUACUGCAGCUGGUGAGACUGGGCCAGCAGCUCCAGGAAGGGCCACACUGCUCUGUGAGAGGCAGAGGGAAGAAGUAACCCAGGGUAGGCACCUCGAGGAUGACAGAAAACAGGGGACAGGGAUGACUUGAUGAAGACUGCUUUACUUGAGCUUAUUUUAUUACCUUCUUUUGAUGGUUUAGUUGUAGGUGUCCCCAUUUUUAUGCUACUGUGACAAACAUUUCAGAAUCAUCUUUAAUAAACACAGAAGUAAUCCAGCUCA
rnacentral:lncRNA from 1 species